AUAAGGAUGCUGUGGAGGAACAGCCUGAGGAAGAAUGUGUGCUUGAAGAUCAACUUUACGAGCAGCUACAAGAGCAGCUACAAGAACAGCUACGGGAGCUAAAUCAGAAUCCACCACCAUCUAACAAGAACGUGAACUGAAGUCUUAAUACUGCCUUUAGAUUCCAAAAAAAACUACCAAGUUCCUAACCCCAAACUAGCUACCAAAUGGAGGAGCCCAACCAGGAGGACUUCAUCAACCACUUCAAUAAAAACAUGUAAAUGGCCAACUAACAUCAACAUCACUGAACAAAUGCUAUAUACUAUAAAACCUUCUACAUAACAUCCUCAAAAUCUGCAAGGAUUUUUUCAAAAUUCUUGUAAAUGCCACAAUUAUACUCAAGAAUCCUUAGAAACUUAUUGGCCUAUAAACUAAUCGCAUAAUUAUACUAAAGUAAUUAUUCUUCUGCCCGUCCUGUGUCGAGAUGCCGUAUAUCCUGUCGCUGCACAUACAUGCCUAUCCUUUUUGGUUAUCCUUAUCGUUUAUCGUCAUCCUGCGGCUUUCGCCGGCGUUCUGAUUUUUCCACCUUGCUGGCCAACUAUGCGGCUCAUCCGCUCCGCUGAACGCCGCCAGAAGCCAGAAGGAAGUGCCCAUGCAGGCUGC